AUGCAUUACCUUUUUAUCAUUAUACCGUAUUUUCCGGACUAUUUUCCAGUUUGCGUACCGAGCCAAACGGUCCUCUGAGGAUGCCAUCUGCUCUGCCCUCCACUCGGCCCUCACCCACCUGGAGAAAAGGGACUAGUAUGUGAGAUUGCUGUUUGUGGACUUCAGUUCUGCCUUCAACACCAUUGUGCCACAACGUCUCAUCAGCAAACUUGACAAGCUGGGCCUCAGUACCUACCUCUGCAACUGGCUACUGGAUUUCCUCUGUCAGAGGCCACAGGUGCGACAACCGCAUAGUGAAGUUUGCUGACGACACGACUCUGGUGGGUCUCAUCACCAAGGGAGACGAGACUCAAUACAGGCUGGAGGUUGACCUUCUGACCACGUGGUGCAGGGACAAAAACCUCCUGCUGAACGUCGACAAGACCAAGGAGAUUAUUGUGGACUUCCGGAAGGGUCACACCCAACACCUGUCGCUGACCAUUGACGGUGCUGUGGUGGAGAGAGUGAGCAGCGCCAAGUUCCUGGGGGUGCACAUCAGUGAGGAUCUCUCCUGGUCCACCAACACCGCAUCACUGACAAAGAAAGCCCAGCGCCGCCUGUACUUCCUGCGGAAACUCAGGCGAGCGAGCGCUCCUCCGGCCGUCAUGACUACAUUUUACCGCGGCACCAUUGAGAGCGUCCUCUCCAGCUUUAUUGCUGUUUGGGGUGGUAGCUGCACUGACUACAACAUGAAGGCCCUGCACCGCAUAGUGAACACGCCUGGUAAGAUUAUUGGUGCUUCACUCCCCUCCUUGAAGGAUAUUUACACCUCCCAUCUCACCCGCAAGGCGACCACAAUUGUGAGUGAUGUGAGUCACCCCGCUUACUCCUUGUUCGAUCUUCUGCCCUCUGGGAAGAGGUACGGGAGCCUGCGCUCCCGCACCACCAGACUCACCAACAGCUUCAUACUCCAGGCUAGGAUUAGCCUGAAACAGAACCCUGAGACUAUCAAAGAGCAGGUGCAUUUAUACGGAGACUUGAUUACACAUAGGUGCAUUCUAUUUAUCAUCAUCAGUCAUUUUGGACAACAUUGGAUCAUUCAAAGAUCCUCACUGAACUUCUGGAGUGAGUUUGCUGCACUGAAAGUAAAGGGGCCGAAUAAUAUUGCACGCCCCACUUUUCAGUUUUUUAUUUGUUAAAAAAGUUUAAAUUAUCCAAUAAAGUUUGUUCCACUUCA